GAUGAACGCUGGCGGCGUGCUUAACACAUGCAAGUCGAACGGAAAGGCCCAAGCUUGCUUGGGUACUCGAGUGGCGAACGGGUGAGUAACACGUGGGUGAUCUGCCCUGCACUUCGGGAUAAGCCUGGGAAACUGGGUCUAAUACCGGAUAGGACGAUGGUUUGGAUGCCAUUGUGGAAAGUUUUGUCGGUGUGGGAUGAGCUCGCGGCCUAUCAGCUUGUUGGUGGGGUAAUGGCCUACCAAGGCGUCGACGGGUAGCCGGCCUGAGAGGGUGUACGGCCACAUUGGGACUGAGAUACGGCCCAGACUCCUACGGGAGGCAGCAGUGGGGAAUAUUGCACAAUGGGCGCAAGCCUGAUGCAGCGACGCCGCGUGGGGGAUGACGGCCUUCGGGUUGUAAACUCCUUUCGCUAGGGACGAAGCGUUUUUGUGACGGUACCUGGAGAAGAAGCACCGGCUAACUACGUG
rnacentral:rRNA from 1 species